rnacentral:rRNA from 1 species
UACAGAGGGUGCAAGCGUUGUUCGGAAUCAUUGGGCGUAAAGGGCGUGUAGGCGGUUUGUUAAGUCAUGUGUGAAAUCCCUCGGCUCAACCGGGGAACGACGCAUGAAACUGGCAAGCUAGAGUACCAAAGAGGGGGGUGGAAUUCCUGGUGUAGCGGUGAAAUGCGCAGAUAUCAGGAGGAACACCGGUGGCGAAGGCGGAUCUCUGGGCCAUUACUGACGCUGAGGAGCGAAAGCGUGGGGAGCGAACAGG